CUGGAGUGGACGCUGAGGCUGAGGAGACGCCAAGAGCAAAUGAGGGCUGCUAGUACGUUGUCACCUCUCACUGGUAACUACAGUUGCUGUCAGUUUAACUGAUGCAAGAGAAGAUAAGGAAGACAAGAUCUCAACCACUUUCAGCAAAGCUUUGCGGAGAAUGCAACAUCCUUCAAGACACCAUGAAGCUCCAUGCAUCUGGUCAUCUUGCUUCUUUGGGGAAUAAAUUUAUU
rnacentral:lncRNA from 1 species